AUUGAACGCUGGCGGCAUGCUUUACACAUGCAAGUCGAACGGCAGCGCGGGCUUCGGCCUGGCGGCGAGUGGCGAACGGGUGAGUAAUGCAUCGGAACGUGCCCAGUAGUGGGGGCUAGCCCGGCGAAAGCCGGCUUAAUACCGCAUCCGACCUGAGGGUGAAAGCGGGGGACCGAUAGGCCUAGAGCUAUUGGAGCGGCCGAUGUCGGAUUAGCUAGUUGGUGGGGUAAAGGCUUACCAAGGCGACGAUCCGUAGCUGGUCUGAGAGGACGACCAGCCACACUGGGACUGAGACACGGCCCAGACUCCUACGGGAGGCAGCAGUGGGGAAUUUUGGACAAUGGGGGCAACCCUGAUCCAGCCAUGCCGCGUGAGGGAAGAAGGCCUUCGGGUUGUAAACCGCUUUUGUUCGGGAAGAAAUCCUCUGGGCUAAUACCCCGGGGGGAUGACGGUACCGGAAGAAUAAGCACCGGCUAACUACGUG
rnacentral:rRNA from 1 species